UGAUUAUUGAAACACAAAAUUAAGUAAACAAGUAUACAUUUCUAAACUAUUGUAUUUUACUGUAACUAAAUUAUGAUAGUGAAUAUAAAGUUACAAAAAAAUAAGUUAUAAGAUAAAUAUAUAAUUUUUCUACGAAACAUAAUUUUGGACAUACAUUAAAUCUUUUCUAAUUACUGUGCAAGAAAACAAUGUAAUUAAAAGGUGCUGAGUCUUUAGCUAGAAAAGUGCGGAUUUCAUCAAAACAAAAACAGCUUGAAUAACACUACAACAUGUUGUCACCUACAUAAAUAAGACUUAUCGGUGUUCAACAGAAAAGUAUAUACGAUGGGGUAUCUUCUUACAGAUGAAGUCAUACAGACUAUUGGCCAUGGGAUUGAAAAGGAGUGGAAAACCGUUGCUAAAAAUUUAAAACUGAGUCGCUCAGAAAUUCAACAGAUAGAAAAAGAAGCAGCGAAUAGCAAACAGGCUGCCGUGAAGAUGUUGGAGAAAUGGAAAACAAAGGACACAACAGGAGAUGAGCAUAAAGUGUUCUUGCUAAGAAAGAUAUUGAUUCAGAUGAAAAGACAGGACCUACUGAAUUAUCUUGGAAAUUAUGAAAUGGGAAUAUUAAGCUUAACAUAGCAUGCUUUUGCUGAGAUGUGUAACUCAGACUUUCAAUAUGUUUGUGAACUAAUUGCAAAAUUUUAUACAGUCAAACCUGUUUUAAAGACCACCUUUGAAUACAGGCCACUUCAAUAAAACCUGCUUAUAAGACCACUAUUUUCUCUUUCAAUCUACCAUAAAUACCCUAGUGUACAUUUACCUGCGUCAAGAGACCAGUUCAUUUCCCAAGGGUGGUAAAUACAAACAGGUCUGACUGUACAUGUUUUUAAAAUGACAUUUUUUCCCUAAACUUUUGAUUUAAAGAAACAUGCAUUAAUGUAUAUCUAACUGAUUAAUUCCUGUUGUAUGUAUAAAGUUAUUCUAAUGGA